AGAGUUUGAUCCUGGCUCAGGAUGAACGCUGGCGGCGUGCCUAACACAUGCAAGUCGAACGAAGCAAUUAAAAUGAAGUUUUCGGAUGGAUUUUUGAUUGACUGAGUGGCGGACGGGUGAGUAACGCGUGGAUAACCUGCCUCACACUGGGGGAUAACAGUUAGAAAUGACUGCUAAUACCGCAUAAGCGCACAGUACCGCAUGGUACGGUGUGAAAAACUCCGGUGGUGUGAGAUGGAUCCGCGUCUGAUUAGCCAGUUGGCGGGGUAACGGCCCACCAAAGCGACGAUCAGUAGCCGACCUGAGAGGGUGACCGGCCACAUUGGGACUGAGACACGGCCCAAACUCCUACGGGAGGCAGCAGUGGGGAAUAUUGCACAAUGGGCGAAAGCCUGAUGCAGCGACGCCGCGUGAGUGAAGAAGUAUUUCGGUAUGUAAAGCUCUAUCAGCAGGGAAGAAAAUGACGGUACCUGACUAAGAAGCCCCGGCUAACUACGUGCCAGCAGCCGCGGUAAUACGUAGGGGGCAAGCGUUAUCCGGAUUUACUGGGUGUAAAGGGAGCGUAGACGGCGAAGCAAGUCUGAAGUGAAAACCCAGGGCUCAACCCUGGGACUGCUUUGGAAACUGUUUUGCUAGAGUGUCGGAGAGGUAAGUGGAAUUCCUAGUGUAGCGGUGAAAUGCGUAGAUAUUAGGAGGAACACCAGUGGCGAAGGCGGCUUACUGGACGAUAACUGACGUUGAGGCUCGAAAGCGUGGGGAGCAAACAGGAUUAGAUACCCUGGUAGUCCACGCC
rnacentral:rRNA from 1 species